rnacentral:rRNA from 1 species
CCUACGGGAGGCUGCAGUGGGGAAUAUUGCACAAUGGGGGAAACCCUGAUGCAGCGACGCCGCGUGAGUGAAGAAGUAUUUCGGUAUGUAAAGCUCUGUCAGCAGGGAAGAAAAUGACGGUACCUGACCAAGAAUCCCCGGCUAACUACGUGCCAGCAGCCGCGGUUAUACGUAGGGGGCAAGCGUUAUCCGGAUUUACUGGGUGUAAAGGGGGCGUAGACGGAAGGGCAAGUCUGGAGUGAAAGGCGGGGGCUCAACCCCCGGACUGCUCUGGAAACUGCCCGGCUGGAGUGUAGGCGAGGUAAGUGGAAUGCAUGGUGUAGCGGUGAAAUGCGUAGAUAUUAGGAGGAACACCAGUGGCGAAGGCGGCUUACUGGACUGUAACUGACGUUGAGGCUCGAAAGCGUGGGGAGCAAACAGGAUUAGAUACCCCUGUAGUC